UACGUAGGGUGCGAGCGUUGUCCGGAUUUAUUGGGCGUAAAGCGCACGUAGGCGGCUUUGUAAGUUAGAGGUGAAAGCCCGGGGCUCAACCCCGGAACAGCCUUUAAGACUGCAUCGCUUGAACGUCGGAGAGGUGAGUGGAAUUCCGAGUGUAGAGGUGAAAUUCGUAGAUAUUCGGAAGAACACCAGUGGCGAAGGCGGCUCACUGGACGACUGUUGACGCUGAGGUGCGAAAGCGUGGGGAGCAAACAGG
rnacentral:rRNA from 1 species